AAAUAUUCAUGGUUAACACACAAUCAGGUGCAUCAAAAAGCACUUGCUCUGGGAUCUGGGAUAAUGGAACUUGGCUAUUAACCAUCAACUGAAAUGACAUUUGGCAUUUAUGCUGUGAACAAAUUGGAGUGGAUGUUAAUAGACAGAGCCUGUGUUAUGUUUUCCUUUGUAUCAGUUCCACUGUAUGAGAGUUUAGGUGUUGAAGCAUGUAUCUACAUCAUUAACCAUGCUGAGUUAUCAUUAGUUGUGUGUGAGUGAGAACAAGCUGCCAAUAUUAUUGGAGUCAGCUCAUCAAUGUCCUAAACUCAAGCAUAUUAUAAAAAUUGGUGAUGUGACAAA